rnacentral:rRNA from 1 species
GACGAACGCUGGCGGCGUGCUUAACACAUGCAAGUCGAACGAAGAGCGAUGGAAGCUUGCUUCUAUCAAUCUUAGUGGCGAACGGGUGAGUAACGCGUAAUCAACCUGCCCUUCAGAGGGGGACACAGUUGGAAACGACUGCUAAUACCGCAUACGAUCUAAUCUCGGCAUCGAGGAUAGAUGAAAGGUGGCCUCUACAUGUAAGCUAUCACUGAAGGAGGGGAUUGCGUCUGAUUAGCUAGUUGGAGGGGUAACGGCCCACCAAGGCGAUGAUCAGUAGCCGGUCUGAGAGGAUGAACGGCCACAUUGGGACUGAGACACGGCCCAGACUCCUACGGGAGGCAGCAGUGGGGAAUCUUCCGCAAUGGACGAAAGUCUGACGGAGCAACGCCGCGUGAGUGAUGACGGCCUUCGGGUUGUAAAGCUCUGUUAAUCGGGACGAAAGGCCUUCUUGCGAAUAGUGAGAAGGAUUGACGGUACCGGAAUAGAAAGCCACGGCUAACUACGUG